rnacentral:rRNA from 1 species
UACGUAGGGGGCAAGCGUUGUCCGGAAUCAUUGGGCGUAAAGCGCGUGUAGGCGGUUCGGUAAGUCCGCUGUGAAAGUCGGGGGCUCAACCCUGGGAUGCCGGUGGAUACUGUCGAGCUCGAGUCCGGAAGAGGCGAGUGGAAUUCCUGGUGUAGCGGUGAAAUGCGCAGAUAUCAGGAGGAACACCAAUGGCGAAGGCAGCUCGCUGGGACGUGACUGACGCUGAGACGCGAAAGCGUGGGGAGCAAACAGG